UGCAAGCCGAGCGGUAGGGUUUCUUCGGAAACCUGAGAGCGGCGCACGGGUGCGGAACACGUGUGCAACCUACCUUUAUCAGGGGGAUAGCCUUUCGAAAGGAAGAUUAAUACCCCAUAAUAUAUUAGAUGGCAUCAUUUGAUAUUGAAAACUCCGGUGGAUAGAGAUGGGCACGCGCAAGAUUAGAUAGUUGGUGAGGUAACGGCUCACCAAGUCAGUGAUCUUUAGGGGGCCUGAGAGGGUGAUCCCCCACACUGGUACUGAGACACGGACCAGACUCCUACGGGAGGCAGCAGUGAGGAAUAUUGGACAAUGGGUGAGAGCCUGAUCCAGCCAUCCCGCGUGAAGGAUGACGGCCCUAUGGGUUGUAAACUUCUUUUGUAUAGGGAUAAACCUUUCCACGUGUGGAAAGCUGAAGGUACUAUACGAAUAAGCACCGGCUAACUCCGUGCCAGCAGCCGCGGUAAUACGGAGGGUGCAAGCGUUAUCCGGAUUUAUUGGGUUUAAAGGGUCCGUAGGCGGACUCGUAAGUCAGUGGUGAAAUCUCAUAGCUUAACUAUGAAACUGCCAUUGAUACUGCGGGUCUUGAGUAAGGUAGAGGUAGCUGGAAUAAGUAGUGUAGCGGUGAAAUGCAUAGAUAUUACUUAGAACACCAAUUGCGAAGGCAGGUUACCAUGUCUUAACUGACGCUGAUGGACGAAAGCGU
rnacentral:rRNA from 1 species